UACUGAGUCGUCGACACGAGUUGUUGCUGGUCCUCAAACGGGGGCACGUGCACGCUCUGUUCACACAUCCACUCACACCUGUGCACCCUCUGUAGUUCUAUGGUAUGGUGGACAACACCGUCCUCCUCUGUAGUUCUGCGUUUUUACACCUACACUGUAGCAAAGUCUUAUGGAAUGCGCGCCGCGUUUAACGCAAUGCAAUACAACUUUCAGCAACGGAUCUCUUGGCUCUCGUAUCGAUGAAGAACGCAGCGAAAUGCGAUAAGUAAUGUGAAUUGCAGAAUUCAGUGAAUCAUCGAAUCUUUGAACGCACCUUGCGCCCCUUGGCUAUUCCGAGGAGCAUGCCUGUUUGAGUAUCAUGAACACCUCAACUCUCAUGGUUUGCCGUGAUGAGCUUGGACUUUGGAGGUUUUGCUGGCCCAUGGUCGGCUCCUCUCAAACAGAUUAGCUUGCCAGUUUUCGGUGGCGUCACAGGUGUGAUAACUAUCUACGCUCGUGGUCGUCUGCUGGUUAACCUUUCGGUGACGGAGGUUUGCUGGAGCUUAUAAAUGUCUCUCCUCAGCGAAGACAGCUAUUUGAACGUUUG
rnacentral:misc_RNA from 1 species